rnacentral:rRNA from 1 species
UACGAAGGGUGCAAGCGUUUAAUCGGAAUUACUGGGCGUAAAGCGUGCGUAGGCGGUUUGUUAAGUCUGCUGUGAAAUCCCCGGGCUCAACCUGGGAAUGGCAGUGGAUACUGGCAAGCUAGAGUGUGUCAGAGGAUGGUGGAAUUCCCGGUGUAGCGGUGAAAUGCGUAGAGAUCGGGAGGAACAUCAGUGGCGAAGGCGGCCAUCUGGGACAACACUGACGCUGAGGCACGAAAAGCGUGGGGAGGCAAACAGG